GGGGAUUUAGCUCAGUGGUAGAGCGCUUGCCUAGCUAGUGCAAGGCCCUGGGUUCGGUCCCCAGCUCCG
rnacentral:tRNA from 1 species